AAUGACAAACGCCCACGUUACUGAAACGCGAUGGUGGCGCGCGUGCGAGCUGUUGGUUAUGCGGUCCGUCACACGUCGGUGCGUUAUUCUUUUGUAUGCCGACGUCCCUCUAGGACUGUUCAUCGUCGUUCACCGUUCACUGUUCCAAACAAUUAUUUUUUUUCAAUUACGUUUUUCGCACAUUAUUAUUUUUCUCAGUUUAAAAUUAAAACGUUUUCUCAUGCGGCUGCGUUUCGAAUCUUCCGCUAGCGGGUCCGGACAUUUUUCGAGCCGCAGUUGCUCAAGCAUCCUUCUGCACGUAAGUAACAAAACUGUUCGUAAAUACUAAACGAAAAAUAACGAU